rnacentral:tRNA from 1 species
GCGUCUGUAGCCUAGUUGGUAAAGGCAGCACUCUAGUAUGUGUCUCCAGCGUUAGCUGAGGUCGUGAGUUUGACUCUCACCA